rnacentral:rRNA from 1 species
AAUCAACGCUGGCGGCGUGCCUCAGACAUGCAAGUCGAACGCGAAAGUUCCCUUCGGGGGAGCAAGUAGAGUGGCGCACGGGUGAGUAACACGUGGAUAAUUUACCUUCGGGUGGGGAAGUAACAGUCGGAAACGGCUGCUAAUACCGCAUAAUGCAGCGGCAUCUAUGAUGACAGUUGUUAAAGCGGGGGAGUCGCAAGACCUCGCGCCUGAAGAGAAGUCCGCGGCAGAUUAGCUAGUUGGUAGGGUAAUGGCCUACCAAGGCUUCGAUCUGUAGCCGGCCUGAGAGGGCGGUCGGCCACACUGACACUGACAUACGGGUCAGACUCCUACGGGAGGCAGCAGUCGGGAAUUUUGGGCAAUGGGCGAAAGCCUGACCCAGCAACGCCGCGUGAAGGAUGAAGCAUUUCGGUGUGUAAACUU